CCACCCCAUCUGCUCUGACCGCUGGCCUAGAUCUGUACCGCUGGGCCCCUUCUGCUCCAGUGCCUGGCAGCCCCACUCCCGCGCCAGACCAGCUGGCUGGGCCUGGGAAGAGAUGUAACCUGACUGCAUCAGCUUAUAAGUCUGGGUACCAUGGAAUGGGUAUAUCAAGGCGAGUGCUGGAGGCUUUGAAACUGUGGAAAUCAUGACUCCUGAGAGCUCCAGGACUCUGUGAAAAGAAGGGAAUUGAUCUUUUCUCCCCCAGAAGAAGCCUGCCUCAGGUGAAAGCCUGGAUUGGCAUUUCCCACAGCAUCACUGACCUGAGCCAAAAAAUCCGCUUCUGUGACCAGUGGGCUUCUGACUAGGAUCAGGUGACCAUACCAUUUCCUCUCCCCCUCCUCCCAUACACAAACACACCUUCCUCCGCCUUCCUCAUACAUAAUCACACAUGCACAGCUGAACGUUUCCCAAGCUCCCCUAGGACUGACGAGGAGACAGUUUCUCUCCUCAGACAUCCCUCAGGGAAACAGGGGAGACUUGGACUCCAUCCUCAAGGAACUCCUGGUCUGAUAAGGGAGAAAUAGCCCCUGUAUUUAGGCGGCCUCUGAUCUGAUGGGGGAAACACAGUCCCCACCCUCAACGAAUCCUGAUCUUAUAGGAAAAGCCCCAUCCUUGCCUUCAGGGAUUCCUCAGUCUGAUAGAAGAGACAGAGCCUUGUGUGUAUGGGGGCAUGAAGACUGAUGGGAGUCGGUGGGGUGGAGAAUGAUUGUGUAUGGAUGCUCACCAGAUACAAAAAAAGAAGCCUUGCCUGAGUAUAAACUGGUUUGGUUUGGGGGAGGAGGGUGCUAUACUUAUCUCCCCAAAGUCAUGUACACAAAGCAAGUGCUUCAUAAAUGUUUGUUGAAUGAAUAUUGAAAAUUCAGGAUAUUUCAGCAAAGCAUGUUCACGGUCUGAA